CCCUCGCACCUUCUAUUCCCAGAAUCACUAGGCGCCGGCGCCUCCGAGGCAGUGUGUUUCCGCCCAGAGCUGGAGUCUCCCAGCUGCCAGCCGACCCCGAACCCGCACUCCCGCCAACCGCGCUUUUUGUGGGCGGUCGGAAACCACAGCCUCCGUUGGAUAUGUUCGGUGCAUGUUAUAAACAACCACUUAAACCCUCCGGAUCUGAGCCUCCCGCAGAGGAAUGCAGAAUGACGCCACGGCACGCAGGAUGUGAUGUCACCGAGAUGCAGAGGAUACUCAGUCAACCAACAUUUACUGAGCAUCUACUUCGUGCCGUCUUGUCAACGGAAAGGGGUCCCUAUCCAGACCCCAAGAGAGCAUUCUUGGAUCUCUUGCAAGAAAGAAUUUGAGGCGAAUCCAUAGAGUAAGCAAGGCAAGUUACUUCUAUAUAGAAGGGUGCACCCUUACAGAUCAAACAAUGCUUAGUGAUGUGUGUCAGACCUCUGAGCCCAAGCAAAGCCAUCAUAUCCCCUGUGACCUGCAUGUAUACAUCCAGAUGGCCUGAAGCAAGUGAAGAAUCACAAAAGAAGUGAAAAGGGCCGGUUCCUGCCUUAACUGAUGACAUUCCACCAUUGUGAUUUGUUCCUGCCCCACCUUAACUGAGCGAUUAACCUGUGAACUUCCUUCUCCUGGCUCAGAAGCUUCCCCACUGAGCACCUUGUGACCCCCGCCCCUGCCUGCCAUAGAACAACCCCCUUUGAUUGUAAUUUUCCUUUACCUACCCAAAUCCUAUAAAACGGCCCCACCCCUAUCUCCCUUCGCUGACACUCUCUUUGGACUCAGCCUGCCUGCACCUAGGUGAUUAAAAAGCUUUAUUGCUCACGCAAA
ensembl:lncRNA ANKRD13C-DT ANKRD13C divergent transcript